GGAUCAGGUAGGAAUACCCGCUGAACUUAAGCAUAUCAUAA
rnacentral:rRNA from 1 species